UUUUCCAUGUAGAUUAAGAAAGCCCGUAAACCAGCCACUGAGCCAAUGAGAAACCAAAGAGACAGUUUCUUUCUAUGUGAAGAGGCAGGGAGGGAUCCAGUUCCGGCUUUUCCUCUUCCUUCUGCACUUUAUCUUAUUGAUGGAGGAUUUUUUGUCCGGGUUGUUCGACUUUUUCUGUUAUGUAAGCGACAGCGAAACUGCAUUACGGGAAGAACUAAUUAGCGAAUUUUUGCUACUGAAGCAAUCGGGAUUCUACAGCGUGGAUGCUUGUCAAGCCUUUAGCGAUUGGUUCUUUUUCUCUCGUCUACACAGUAAACCAAGUUUUUUGGCGCGCUGUUUUAAGCCGGACGAGUCUCGUCGGCUCUGCCAUGAAUAUGAGCUUGCGAAAGCUCGUUUUUACACUCUUGCGAAGGAUGACGGAUUCAAUGGUCUCUGCUGCUCUCUCCACGAUUGGUACAAAAGGGGUAAAAAAAGAUGCACGGCGGAUCUAAAACUUCUGGGGAUCGAUAAGAGCCUUGUUGCUGAAUCUGGGGUUUUGAAGGGCCACGCUGAUGCUAUUGAAGAAGGUUUGGUGGUUGACGGCGAUGGAGUGAUCCCCGUGCCUAAUGUCUCCAGCUAUGUCCUCUCUCAGGUCAUCCUCUUCUUGGAGAAGAAACAACAUUUCCAGGAGACCCACGACAAAGCUGCCGCCCACUACGAGGCCUGGUCCACCGCCUUUUUCAACCGGAACAGUCUCAUUCUCCCCGAGUUGCAUCAGGCUGCGCAAGAUCUUCAGAUCCCAAGCUUGCUGGAAGCGAUAAGUAAGGUGCAAAAGCGCAAGGAUGGUGGCCACCUCAAUGACAAUUUGUCGAGCGAAAUGUUCCACUAUUUCUGUGGUAUGGCCGGCAACAACAAACGCGGUGGAGCCAUUCUGGAGGAAUUGAAUAACCUCAAGUUAUUUAGAGGCUUGGAUAAGGUUGCCUGUGGAAACUUCAGAAUAUGGUUCACUCAGAUUGGGAAUCCGGGUAGGGACCAUCAUAAUCACAAUAAAUUCAAGACUUUCAUGAAGUCCCCUGCCUUCGGUCAAGUCUGCCUUUCUCUUUAUUGGGGCGACGAACGUCUGCAGUUUGCCCAGGUCUCCUUAAGAAGCCAAGACGGAAAGGUCUUGCAGAUCGAUAAGAGUGUUGCCGUUGAUGAAUCUGUGUUUUUAAGACGCUGUGUUAGGUGUAGUGGUUGGUGGACUGAGAUCCCUGUGAACAUUGAUAGCUCUGUACUCUCAUCAAUCAUUGACUUCUGUUCUAAGGUAUGGGAUUUCCAUAAGAUAUAUGGUUCCCGCCGGAUCAAGGAGGGCCUUGUGGCUGUGGAUUAUUUCCGGUGCUGGGUCACAGAAUUCCUCAAGAGUAACAUAGACAUUCUCUCGGAAUUGUACGAGGCUGCUGACUUUCUUGAAAUCCCGAGCCUGUUGCUGCUUACAACUGAGGAGGUGACAGAUCUGGUGACGAGGCCCCUUGAUAAGGCAUCGGUGUUGUCUGGGAAACUAUCAUUUUCACGAAUGCUCUCAUCCCUUUUUGUUAAAUUCACAGAGUAGGGUUGGCCAUCAAGUAGGAAAUUGGUAUGCUGUUGUUAAUCAAAGGACUACUUGAUUUGAUCGUUCCCCAUUUUUAUGUUUACUUUCUUGGUAAACUUCAGUUUGUUCUCUAUUUGAAGGUUUGUAGUAGCAAUUGAUGAUGAAUCCAUCCAUUUGGAUAUUGCACUAUCGAUCCCAUCUAGUGGGAUAAGAUUUUGUUGUUGUAAAUGUAGCCUUACUCUGUAAACGAUUAUGUAUAUAAGUAUAUUAUUUUGAUUGAACUUAGUUGAUUUUUGUAUUGGUUAUUUCUUUUCUGACUAUAAUGCUUUCUUUCAAAAAUAAAAUGUUGUUGCUCACCUGGUUUGAAUUUGAUAGGUGUCUGGUGUCUACUCCCUUUAAAGAUGUGAAUGGUAGGUGCUUUCCCUUUCAUAAUCAUUCAAAGUGACAUCAAUAAUUGUGAGGAGUAUUGUGAUCGUAUUAGCAAAGGUGACUGCUAGAGCAUAGGAGGUCAAUCAGUUUAGUAUUAGAAAAAAAAAGGGAAUUAGUUAGUAUUUUGUUCAAAUAUAAAGCAAAUAUAAUACAGAAAAUGAAAUAGAUAGUUAAAGCAAAAGACCUUUUUUUUCCAUAGUGAUUUUAUUGAAUAAAAAGAAUGCCUCCCUCUUCAAGGAGACAUUCUUUCAUUCUUCAUGGAGUGACUGGAGCUAGAAGCAUAAAACUUAUGUUUGGUUGCAGAAUUCUAUGGCUUCGCUCAUGAAGCAUGAUAAGUGCAACCGCUAUAUUAGUGGUGGCUAUUGCCGUGGAUUUCUUCUUGGGAUUUGCUUAAGAAGCUGCGAUGGACCUGAGUUGAAGAUGGACAAGAGUGUUGCUACUGCUGAAUCCCUGUUUUUGCAAGACCGCAUUGAUUCUAAUCCUGAUUUGCAUGAAGUCGAGGUGCCCGUUGAUAGAGACAUUCUUUCACAAGUCAUCGACUUCUGGUGAGUCAUUUUUCUUAAGAGAUGGGCCACUUUCUUCUUGGAGCGUAACAGAAAUACUCUUUCCAAUUUGAAAGAGGCUGCCGACUAUCUCUUCAUUCCGAGCUUGUUGGAGUUGACAACAAAUGCAUUGGCAAAUUCUGUGCAAACGAAGCUUCACCCCACGGCGGUGUGGUCAACAAUCCUUUUCAGUUCUCACCAAUAAUGGCUCCCUUCUUCCUUUAUCAUUAAAGGACUACUUGACUAUUCAACAUCCGAUGUAUCUUUGUUAGAUUUUAUUCGUUUCUUGAUAGCAAUGCAUGAUGAGCUUGUUUGGAUAAUGCUUUCCUCAUCAAGGUUUGUGGUUAAUGGAGCAUAGACUCUAGAAGUUUAAACGAUGAGGUCCAUAUAGAUUUUCUUACUAGUGUUUAAUUUUCUAAGGCAUUAAGUUGAUUGAUGUUGCUCACUACCUCUAAAGAUGAAUGGGGCUACUCAUUCAUGGUAGAUGCUUUGCCCCUCAUGCUCAUUUACAGAUUACACUACAGUAAGAUAAAUCAAAGUGAUUUUAAUUU